rnacentral:rRNA from 1 species
UACGUAGGGUGCAAGCGUUGUCCGGAAUUAUUGGGCGUAAAGCGCGUGUAGGCGGUUCAGUAAGUCUGCUGUGAAAGUCCAGGGCUCAACCCUGGGAUGCCGGUGGAUACUGUCGGGCUCGAGUCCGGAAGAGGCGAGUGGAAUUCCUGGUGUAGCGGUGAAAUGCGCAGAUAUCAGGAGGAACACCAAUGGCGAAGGCAGCUCGCUGGGACGUGACUGACGCUGAGACGCGAAAGCGUGGGGAGCAAACAGG